rnacentral:snRNA from 1 species
UUGCUCUCUUCAGCAGCACCGGCACUAAAAUUAGAAUGAUACAGAGAAGAUCAGCAUGACCCUUGUGCGAGGAUGACAAAUUCAUGAAACAGUCCACAUUUUG